CACAUCCUUGUUAGGUGAAUUAUGUGAAGACAGGCUUUUGACAAAAAACACACAAUCAAGGUCUCCAUCUUGACAAAAGAAAUUUGCAGGAGAGGUGGAGGGGGCUAAGGCGGCAGUGUUGGGCGGGGAGGAGGUGGAUUAGUGGGAAAGGGGCGGUGUAAGGCCAAUGUGGAAGAGGCUGGCGCCUCGUCAUUGGCAACGAGGGUGGGAC